UACAGAGGGGGCAAGCGUUAUUCGGAAUUACUGGGCGUAAAGCGCACGUAGGCGGCUUGGUAUGUCGGGUGUGAAAUCCCCGGGCUCAACCUGGGAACUGCAUCCGAAACUGCCUUGCUCGAGUAUGGGAGAGGGAAGUGGAAUUUCCGGUGUAGCGGUGAAAUGCGUAGAUAUCGGAAGGAACAUCAGUGGCGAAGGCGACUUCCUGGACCAAUACUGACGCUCAGGUGCGAAAGCGUGGGGAGCAAACAGG
rnacentral:rRNA from 1 species